UACGAAGGGGGCUAGCGUUGUUCGGAAUCACUGGGCGUAAAGGGCGCGUAGGCGGCUUUAUAAGUCGGGGGUGAAAGCCUGUGGCUCAACCACAGAAUUGCCUUCGAUACUGUAGAGCUUGAGACCGGGAAGAGGUAAGUGGAACUGCGAGUGUAGAGGUGAAAUUCGUAGAUAUUCGCAAGAACACCAGUGGCGGAAGGCGGCUCACUGGCCCGGUACUGACGC
rnacentral:rRNA from 1 species